rnacentral:rRNA from 1 species
GACGAACGCUGGCGGCGUGCCUAAUACAUGCAAGUCGAGCGAAUGGAUUAAGAGCUUGCUCUUAUGAAGUUAGCGGCGGACGGGUGAGUAACACGUGGGUAACCUGCCCAUAAGACUGGGAUAACUCCGGGAAACCGGGGCUAAUACCGGAUAACAUUUUGAACCGCAUGGUUCGAAAUUGAAAGGCGGCUUCGGCUGUCACUUAUGGAUGGACCCGCGUCGCAUUAGCUAGUUGGUGAGGUAACGGCUCACCAAGGCAACGAUGCGUAGCCGACCGGAGAGGGUGAUCGGCCAAACUGGGACUGGGACACGGCCCAGACUCCUACGGGAGGCGGCAGUAGGGAAUCUUCCGCAAUGGACGAAAGUCUGACGGAGCAACGCCGCGUGAGUGAUGAAGGCUUUCGGGUCGUAAAACUCUGUUGUUAGGGAAGAACAAGUGCUAGUUGAAUAAGCUGGCACCUUGACGGUACCUAACCAGAAAGCCACGGCUAACUACGUGCCAGCCGCCGCCGUAA